GUGUAGAAGAAAAGUUUGUAAUAUGUCAUGACUCAUGAGUCAUGACACAUAAUUUUUGGAACCAUUUGUUGAGUACCACAAUGUACGUACAUACUUGCAAUAUUUUUAUCAAACAAAAAAUGAAAGCUAUACGUUAAGUGCUCACUUUCAUGGACACCGUACAGAAUACCGUAAGAAAUGGACUUAACAGCUGAGUGCGGAUAAAGCAGAGACUAUAACAAAGAGUAUAAACAAACCAGGUAGAUUGGUGGACAGGUGUAAAAUUUCGGAACACGCACACUCUUGUGAUUGUAACUGAAUGUGAGACUGCAAGCAGUUCGAAAAUCGUAUCGACAUCGCAAGUGCAUGUUCUGUCAGUGAUGCUACAACCGUCAUUUUAUCUCUAGACAAUGAACUGUUAAAAUCUAAAAACUUAUUUCCCAAAUAUAUUUGACGAUUUGUUUAAAAUAUCACCUAUAAGGUUCUUAACAAAGAUAAAA